GGCGAGGUAGCUCAGUUGGUGAGAGCGCAGGAUUCAUAACCCUGAGGUCGGGAGUUCGAAUCUCCCUCCCGCUA
rnacentral:tRNA from 1 species